rnacentral:rRNA from 1 species
UACGUAGGGUGCGAGCGUUAAUCGGAAUUACUGGGCGUAAAGCGUGCGCAGGCGGUGAUGUAAGACAGGUGUGAAAUCCCCGGGCUUAACCUGGGAACUGCAUUUGUGACUGCAUCGCUGGAGUGCGGCAGAGGGGGAUGGAAUUCCCGGUGUAGCGGUGAAAUGUGUAGAGAUCGGGAGGAACACCGGUGGCGAAGGCGGGUCUCUGGGCAUCUCCUGACGCUGAGGCGCGAAAGCUAGGGGAGCAAACAGG